AACGAACGCUGGCGGCAUGCCUAACACAUGCAAGUCGAACGAGAUCUUCGGGUCUAGUGGCGCACGGGUGCGUAACGCGUGGGAAUCUGCCCUUUGGUUCGGAAUAACAGUUGGAAACGACUGCUAAUACCGGAUGAUGACGAAAGUCCAAAGAUUUAUCGCCAGAGGAUGAGCCCGCGUAGGAUUAGCUAGUUGGUGUGGUAAAGGCGCACAAAGGCGACGAUCCUUAGCUGGUCUGAGAGGAUGAUCAGCCACACUGGGACUGAGACACGGCCCAGACUCCUACGGGAGGCAGCAGUGGGGAAUAUUGGACAAUGGGCGAAAGCCUGAUCCAGCAAUGCCGCGUGAGUGAUGAAGGCCUUAGGGUUGUAAAGCCCUUUUACCCGGGAUGAUAAUGACAGUACCGGGAGAAUAAGCUCCGGCUAACUCCGUGCCAGCCGUCGCCGUAACAC
rnacentral:rRNA from 1 species